GAUGAACGCUAGCUACAGGCUUAACACAUGCAAGUCGAGGGGAAACGACAUCGAAAGCUUGCUUUUGAUGGGCGUCGACCGGCGUACGGGUGAGUAACGCGUAUCCAACCUGCCCACCACUUGGGGAUAACCUUGCGAAAGUAAGACUAAUACCCAAUGACGUCUCUAGAAGACAUCUGAAAGAGAUUAAAGAUUUAUCGGUGAUGGAUGGGGAUGCGUCUGAUUAGCUUGUUGGCGGGGUAACGGCCCACCAAGGCGACGAUCAGUAGGGGUUCUGAGAGGAAGGUCCCCCACAUUGGAACUGAGACACGGUCCAAACUCCUACGGGAGGCAGCAGUGAGGAAUAUUGGUCAAUGGACGAGAGUCUGAACCAGCCAAGUAGCGUGCAGGAUGACGGCCCUAUGGGUUGUAAACUGCUUUUAUAAGGGAAUAAAGUGAGUCUCGUGAGACUUUUUGCAUGUAC
rnacentral:rRNA from 1 species